rnacentral:rRNA from 1 species
UACGUAGGGUGCAGGCGUUAAUCGGAAUUACUGGGCGUAAAGCGUGCGCAGGCGGUUGUGCAAGACAGAUGUGAAAUCCCCGGGCUUAACCUGGGAAUUGCAUUUGUGACUGUACGGCUAGAGUGUGUCAGAGGGGGGUAGAAUUCCACGUGUAGCAGUGAAAUGCGUAGAGAUGUGGAGGAAUACCGAUGGCGAAGGCAGCCCCCUGGGAUAACACUGACGCUCAUGCACGAAAGCGUGGGGAGCAAACAGG